GUUGGGUAGGGGAGCGUUCUGUAAGCCUGCGAAGGUGGCCUGUGAGGGUUGCUGGAGGUAUCAGAAGUGCGAAUGCUGACAUAAGUAACGAUAAAGCGGGUGAAAAGCCCGCUCGCCGGAAGACCAAGGGUUCCUGUCCAACGUUAAUCGGGGCAGGGUGAGUCGACCCCUAAGGCGAGGCCGAAAGGCGUAGUCGAUGGGAAACGGGUUAAUAUUCCCGUACUUGGUGUUACUGCGAAGGGGGGACGGAGAAGGCUAUGUUGGCCGGGCGACGGUUGUCCCGGUUUAAGCGUGUAGGCUGGUUUUCCAGGCAAAUCCGGAAAAUCAAGGCUGAGGCGUGACGACGAGGCACUACGGUGCUGAAGCAACAAAUGCCCUGCUUCCAGGAAAAGCCUCUAAGCAUCAGGUAACAUCAAAUCGUACCCCAAACCGACACAGGUGGUCAGGUAGAGAAUACCAAGGCGCUUGAGAGAACUCGGGUGAAGGAACUAGGCAAAAUGGUGCCGUAACUUCGGGAGAAGGCACGCUGACAUGUAGGUGAAGUGAUUUACUCAUGGAGCUGAAGUCAGUCGAAGAUACCAGCUGGCUGCAACUGUUUAUUAAAAACACAGCACUGUGCAAACACGAAAGUGGACGUAUACGGUGUGACGCCUGCCCGGUGCCGGAAGGUUAAUUGAUGGGGUCAGCGCAAGCGAAGCUCCUGAUCGAAGCCCCGGUAAACGGCGGCCGUAACUAUAACGGUCCUAAGGUAGCGAAAUUCCUUGUCGGGUAAGUUCCGACCUGCACGAAUGGCGUAAUGAUGGCCAGGCUGUCUCCACCCGAGACUCAGUGAAAUUGAACUCGCUGUGAAGAUGCAGUGUACCCGCGGCAAGACGGAAAGACCCCGUGAACCUUUACUAUAGCUUGACACUGAACAUUGAGCCUUGAUGUGUAGGAUAGGUGGGAGGCUUUGAAGUGUGGACGCCAGUCUGCAUGGAGCCGACCUUGAAAUACCACCCUUUAAUGUUUGAUGUUCUAACGUGGACCCGUUACCCGGGUUGCGGACAGUGUCUGGUGGGUAGUUUGACUGGGGCGGUCUCCUCCUAAAGAGUAACGGAGGAGCACGAAGGUUGGCUAAUCCUGGUCGGACAUCAGGAGGUUAGUGCAAUGGCAUAAGCCAGCUUGACUGCGAGCGUGACGGCGCGAGCAGGUGCGAAAGCAGGUCAUAGUGAUCCGGUGGUUCUGAAUGGAAGGGCCAUCGCUCAACGGAUAAAAGGUACUCCGGGGAUAACAGGCUGAUACCGCCCAAGAGUUCAUAUCGACGGCGGUGUUUGGCACCUCGAUGUCGGCUCAUCACAUCCUGGGGCUGAAGUAGGUCCCAAGGGUAUGGCUGUUCGCCAUUUAAAGUGGUACGCGAGCUGGGUUUAGAACGUCGUGAGACAGUUCGGUCCCUAUCUGCCGUGGGCGCUGGAGAACUGAGGGGGGCUGCUCCUAGUACGAGAGGACCGGAGUGGACGCAUCACUGGUGUUCGGGUUGUCAUGCCAAUGGCACUGCCCGGUAGCUAAAUGCGGAAGAGAUAAGUGCUGAAAGCAUCUAAGCACGAAACUUGCCCCGAGAUGAGUUCUCCCUGAGACUU
rnacentral:rRNA from 1 species